rnacentral:rRNA from 1 species
UAACACGUGAGUGACCUGCCUUUUAGACUGGAACAACUUACCGAAAGGUGAGCUAAUGCCGGAUGAGUUAUAUAAGUGCAUGUUUAUAUAGGAAAAGUUGGGGAGACCUGACGCUGAAAGAUGGACUCGCGUCCCAUUAGCUAGUUGGUAGGGUAAUGGCCUACCAAGGCGACGAUGGGUAGCCGGCCUGAGAGGGUGGCCGGCCACACUGGGACUGAGACACGGCCCAGACUCCUACGGGAGGCAGCAGUGGGGAAUUUUGCGCAAUGCUCGUAAGAGUGACGCAGCGACGCCGCGUGAAUGACGAAGGCCUUCGGGUCGUAAAGUUCUUUCGACAGGGAAGAAAAUGCCUAUAAGUAACUGUGUAUGUAUUGACGGUACCUGUAUAAGCAGCCCCGGCUAACUCCGUGCCAGCAGCCGCGGUAAUACGGAGGGGGCGAGCGUUGUUCGGAGUGACUGGGCGUAAAGAGCACGUAGGCGGUGUUGUAAGUCAUUAGUCAAAGACUAGAGCUCAACUUUAGUAAGGCUAGUGAUACUAUAAUACUAGAGUAUCAGAGAGGAUUGCAGAAUUCCUGGUGUAGCGGUGAAAUGCGUAGAUAUCAGGAGGAAUACCGUUAGCGAAGGCGGCAAUCUGGCUGGAAACUGACGCUGAGGUGCGAAAGCGUGGGUAGCAAACAGGAUUAGAUACCCUGGUAGUCC